UGGGGAAUAUUGGACAAUGGGCGAAAGCCUGAUCCAGCCAUGCCGCGUGUGUGAAGAAGGUCUUCGGAUUGUAAAGCACUUUAAGUUGGGAGGAAGGGCAGUAAGCGAAUACCUUGCUGUUUUGACGUUACCGACAGAAUAAGCACCGGCUAACUCUGUGCCAGCAGCCGCGGUAAUACAGAGGGUGCAAGCGUUAAUCGGAAUUACUGGGCGUAAAGCGCGCGUAGGUGGUUCGUUAAGUUGAAUGUGAAAGCCCCGGGCUCAACCUGGGAACAGCAGCCAAAACUGGCGAGCUAGAGUAGGGCAGAGGGUGGUGGAAUUUCCUGUGUAGCGGUGAAAUGCGUAGAUAUAGGAAGGAACACCAGUGGCGAAGGCGACCACCUGGGCUCAUACUGACACUGAGGUGCGAAAGCGUGGGGAGCAAACAGG
rnacentral:rRNA from 1 species